CUCUGCUUCCUCCUACCUUGCCCCCCUCACGUGGGCGUGCUGGACUUCGAUGACGGUACACCACCAGAAGAUGCUUGGAGAAGAAAAUUAAGUAGUCAGGCUAAUAGACUGAAGGAGUUCAAUGUUACGUUCAGAGAAGCAUUUAAAAUGAUGAAGCUUGGUCUCCGGCUUUGGUCAUAUGUUCGAGAAGAAGCUUCUCAUGGAAGGAAAGCACCGAUUGAUCCAUUCACGAGGGAGAGCAGGAAACCAUCAGCCUCACAAGGAGUACCCCUUGGUGGGAUGGGCUGUGUG